GCUCUCUUGGAUCUGGCGGUUCCUGUAUAACAUAUGUGCUGUUUCAUAUGUCAUUUUGCACUUGGACUUUAAUUGAAGAAUUAAAAAAAAAAUCUACACAACUUAAAAAAACAUCACUCACAUCACAGUGGACAAAGAGAACAAUAUGGCCCUGCAUUAGGAUGUGCCUGGGAACACCUGGAAAACCUCUUGUACACACCUACACUUUGGUUACAUUAAUUCUUGUAACUCUUGUUUUGUUAAUUACAGAUUAACAGACAUACAAGGCAGAAUACAGGAUGCAUUUAUUUCAGCAAGAGUCAUUUGCGCCACCUGGUGGUUAUUUGAAAAACAUUGCUAUGGUUUAUGAAUUAUGACAACAACAGGUACUUUGAGUGUAGUGAAGUUGUACCUUGAACUUUCC